GCUUUGCGAGAGAACAUUAACUGCCUUCUAAGCAGUGGGCCGCUGGUUCGAAUCCAGCAGGGAGCG
rnacentral:tRNA from 1 species